rnacentral:lncRNA from 1 species
CUACCCUCCACAACCAAAUUCCUACUACUUGUUGACAUUUCUCUGUUGUUAGCAGAGGCUGAGUGUAGCAUCUUUGCUAAGGUCAGUGAUUUACAGUAUGUACAUUCGGCAGAAUUGUUUUAUGCAGAGAUUAGAUUAAAGCUAACUUCAUCCUCUGAAUUAGCAUUGCUCUGCUUCAUCCAUAGAGGACUGCUGAGUCAGAUCACGAUGAACAAACACACACACACUCAUCUGGACCUUGUGUGUCUUUCCAAAUCCAGAUACAUCAGCUAUGCCAAUUCUAAUCCUCCUCAGAGCGAACAUUUGAGAAGAAUUGGUGCCAUGACCUGGAGGGGUUGACUGUAACAGAGUCCAGCUAGAGCAGUUUUGUCUCUUUUCACUUUCAACCGUGCUUCACGAGCACAAAAGCAACGUUCCAAGCCUGAUGAAAAACUCAGCGGGUCAAUAAAUAACGUGUUUACUACAGCUGUAAAAGGCUGACGACGGGAUACUUUUGAAGCCUCAGUGCAUAAUAAAACGGACAAGAGAUGCAUGAAAUCAUGACUGGCAGUAAUUGCAGCUUUGUUUAAGCAAUUGUGUUUUUUUUGUUUUUUUAGAGGUGUUGUAAAGAGGUUAUCAGUGAUAUUUGAAUACUUUAAAGGGUGACAGAGUAGAAAAUUGUGAGUUGAAAAUCUUAAUCCAAGAUUGCUGGUAUCUUUGACCUUCCAUCAUCCCUAAAGGCUCCGAAGUUCUCUCUCAACCUUGGCUCAUACCGAUCUUAAAAUCACUCUCCGUCUCUGAGUUUUAUACCUCUGCAAAACACAGUGUGCAUUUUAAUGCGGCUUCCAUCUAGUCACCGAGACGAAGCCACUUUGGCCUUGACGGUCUCUUUGGAAAUGAAAGGCAACCUUCAAAGAAAUCAAUUAACGUGAAGCGUGGAAUUGAUUUUUAUGGAUUUUUGUAAGAGUUGUUGACUGAGAUGCUCUCAGGUCAGGUUGCUUGCUGAGUUAAUGUGACUAGUUUGGAAUCCUCAGUCAUUUGAGGCAACCAAUCAGCUCGUGUUCUCCUUCAGAGCCCUGGCAACAACCCCCAGAGCACGGGCAAGUGUGCUUUAAUCAUCCUACUGAGCAGCCAAUAGUGGGCACACACACAGGAUCACAGGCAGUCAUAUAAACACACACACACAUCUCUCACAAGCCAGCUGGGCGUCUGUGUUGAAGUUCCUGUCCUCUCGCCUUUCUCCCAUAAUUCCCUGUUCUAUUUACUCAUGAUUGCUCUUAUUUAACUGACCACGGAUGAACUGAAAUCCACUCCCACAGCCCCAUAACCUACAUUUAAUUCAGCUAAACAGCAUUUUAUCUCUUUUAACAGACGAUCUGAAUGAUUUUCAGUCCUCUACAUAUUGUUGCUUGUCUUCCCACACAGAUUACCAGGUUUUACGACACUGCAGACUGAUGUAAAAAUCUGCUGACA